AUUGAACGCUGGCGGCAGGCCUAACACAUGCAAGUCGAACGGUAACAGGAAGACGCUUGCUUCUUUGUUGACGAGUGGCGGACGGGCGGGAAAUGUCUGGGAAACUGCCUGAUGGAGGGGGAUAACUACCGGAAACGGUCGCUACUAUCGCAUAACGUCUCAAGACCAAAGAGGGGGACCUUCGGGCCUCUCGCCAUCGGGUGUGCCCAGGUUGGAUUCGGUAGUCGGUGGGGUAACGGCUCACAUCGGCGACGAUGCCUAGAUGGUCUGAGAGGAAGGCCAGCGACACUGGAAGUGGGACACGCUCCACACGCCUUCGGGAGGCGGCAGUGGGGAAUUUUGCACAAUGGGCGCAAGCCUGAUGCAGCCAUGCCGGGUGUAUGAAGAAGGCCGUCGGGUUGUAAAGGACUUUCAGCGGGGAGGAAGUGAGUAAAGUUAAUACCUAUGCUCAUUGGCGUUACCCGCAGAAGAAGCACCGGCUAACUCCGUG
rnacentral:rRNA from 1 species